rnacentral:ncRNA from 2 species
GAACAAUCUGCGGCUUAUGUUAAACUUCAUAAGCCUGGGUUGGGAAAGUCCGGUGAAAGUCCGGCACUGUGCCGCAACUGUAAUUUGAAUUCAAAAUUAAGCAUUCAAAAUUAAAACUUGAAUCGGUGAGUUGAAUUUUGAAUUUUGAAUUGAUCAAGUCAGAAUGCCAGUCCUGGUCACUCAAGUCCA